rnacentral:rRNA from 1 species
UAGGGAAUCUUCGGCAAUGGACGAAAGUCUGACCGAGCAACGCCGCGAGAGUGAAGAAGGUUUUCGGAUCGUAAAACUCUGUUGUUAGAGAAGAACAAGGACGUUAGUAACUGAACGUCCCCUGACGGUAUCUAACCAGAAAGCCACGGCUAACUACGUGCCAGCAGCCGCGGUAAUACGUAGGUGGCAAGCGUUGUCCGGAUUUAUUGGGCGUAAAGCGAGCGCAGGCGGUUUCUUAAGUCUGAUGUGAAAGCCCCCGGCUCAACCGGGGAGAGUCAUUGGAAACUGGGGGACGUGCGUACAGAAGAGGAGAGUGGAAUUCCAUGUGGAGCGGUGAAAUGCGUAGAUAUAUGGAGGAACACCAGUGGCGAAGGCAGCUCUCUGGUCUGUAACUGACGCUGAGGCUCGAACGCGUGGGGAGCAAACAGG